UGUCUGGGGGCAGCGCUGAUCUGCCUAGAAGUUGAGACGCUCUUAACGCAGACGCGCAGCGAGAUUUGCUGAAAUUCAUCUGCUCGCCGCACCAGACUGGACUCAAACACUUCAACUGCGAGGAGAGAGGAAGAGAAGGUGUUCAGAUCUCUCACAGCCUGCUACAGAAGAGCGAUGGAUUCGCGGAGAAUCGCAGCUUUGCUCCUUGCUGCCUGCCUCAGCGCGUCAGCUUCAGACCAGUUCGACACGGAGUGUUAUACAGCAAAUGGAGAGGACUACAGAGGUCGACAGAACCAGACAAGCCUGGAAGGAGGAAGACCGUGCCUUUUCUGGAAUGAGACUUUCCAGCAUCCAUACAACACCAUCAAGUACCCCAAUGGAGAAGGAGGUCUUGGACCACACAACUUCUGCAGGAACCCAGAUGGAGAUGUUCGGCCAUGGUGUUAUAUCGCAGAUCUCGAGGAUGGGAUCUACUGGAAAUACUGUGAUAUUCCCACCUGCCAAAUGCCUGGAAACCUGGGCUGUUUUAAGGACAGCGGUGAUCCAACACCUCUGUCUGGAGGCUACCAGACCUCCAACAAACUCACCAUUCAGAACUGCAUCAGCUUCUGCCGCAACCAGAGAUACAAGCUUGCCGGUAUGGAAUCAGGCUAUGCUUGUUUCUGUGGCAACGACAUUGAUUAUCAUCGUCACGGUGACGCUCCGAGCACAGAGUGUAACCAUGUGUGUUUUGGGGAUCACACUCAGCCAUGUGGAGGCGAUGGACGCGUCAUAGUCUUCGACACAAAAGUAGGCGCUUGUGGGGGAAACUUCACAUCGCCCUCCGGAGUGAUCUACUCUCCUGAUUUCCCGGACAAAUACAAACCUGGCAGGGUCUGCUACUGGACCAUUCAGGUUCCAGGUGCUUCUGUCCUUCUGUUCAACUUUACUUUCUUCAAUAUCGUGGAUCAGACUGAUAUGGUGGAGCUGUUGGAUGGCUACUCCAAUCAGGUGUUGGCGCGAUUUGACGGCCGCAAUCCACCGCGGGACAUCGUGAACAUCACUGCAGACUUCGUCAUUUUGUAUUUUUACUCGGACAGGACAAAUGAGGCGCAAGGAUUUUCUGUUCUUUAUCAUGCUUUAAGAAAUCAAGCCGUCACACCUCUGGAGGAGGAUGACGAUGGUGAUGAAGAGGACACCAGUACAGCGCAGCCGCAUACGGGAAGCACUACAGCAAAAUCAAACACCAGUCAGAAUGGAAAAUCCUCCCUCCGGUACUAUGUAAUCACAUCAAGUCCUGCAAAGAUGCCAGGUCAGUGGCAUGAACCGGGCCGGACCGCGGGCCACAGCACCAUGUGGACCAUCUACGCAUUAGCUGCUCUGCUAACGCUAACAGUCAUAGCCAUGGUGGCUAAGCUGCUCCUGCAUCUUACUGUAAAAUCCCCGGCCAUCCCGUCAAUCAGCGGGUCGGAUUCGUGCGCGCAGAGCACCACGUCUGAACCCUGGAUCAUCUUCUACAGACCUUCCACCAUCUCUCUGUUUAAGAAGAAACUCAAGAACCACCAUGGAGACCUCAGCCCUCUCGUGGGAAACUAACCUCACUGCCUCUGACCUCUACGGCUGCUUUAGCCCCUAAAGGAUGCACACACUGUACA
ensembl:lncRNA kremen protein 1-like